rnacentral:rRNA from 1 species
CGCGUGAGUGAGAGGCCUUCGGGUUGUAAGCCCUUUUGUUGGGAAAGAGGAGCAGCCGGUUAAUACCCGGUUGUUCUGACGGUACCCAAAGAAUAAGCACCGGCUAACUUCAUGCCAGCAGCCGCGGUAAU